UGCACCAGCUCAGAUUGAACGCUGGCGGCAGGCCUAACACAUGCAAGUCGAGCGGAAACGAGUUAUCUGAACCUUCGGGGAACGAUAACGGCGUCGAGCGGCGGACGGGUGAGUAAUGCCUAGGAAAUUGCCCUGAUGUGGGGGAUAACCAUUGGAAACGAUGGCUAAUACCGCAUGAUGCCUACGGGCCAAAGAGGGGGACCUUCGGGCCUCUCGCGUCAGGAUAUGCCUAGGUGGGAUUAGCUAGUUGGUGAGGUAAGGGCUCACCAAGGCGACGAUCCCUAGCUGGUCUGAGAGGAUGAUCAGCCACACUGGAACUGAGACACGGUCCAGACUCCUACGGGAGGCAGCAGUGGGGAAUAUUGCACAAUGGGCGCAAGCCUGAUGCAGCCAUGCCGCGUGUGUGAAGAAGGCCUUCGGGUUGUAAAGCACUUUCAGUCGUGAGGAAGGUAGUAGUAGUUAAUAGCACUAUUAUUUGACGUUAGCGACAGAAGAAGCACCGGCUAACUCCGUGCCAGCAGCCGCGGUAAUACGGAGGGUGCGAGCGUUAAUCGGAAUUACUGGGCGUAAAGCGCAUGCAGGUGGUUUGUUAAGUCAGAUGUGAAAGCCCGGGGCUCAACCUCGGAAUUGCAUUUGAAACUGGCAGACUAGAGUACUGUAGAGGGGGGUAGAAUUUCAGGUGUAGCGGUGAAAUGCGUAGAGAUCUGAAGGAAUACCGGUGGCGAAGGCGGCCCCCUGGACAGAUACUGACACUCAGAUGCGAAAGCGUGGGGAGCAAACAGGAUUAGAUACCCUGGUAGUCCACGCCGUAAACGAUGUCUACUUGGAGGUUGUGGCCUUGAGCCGUGGCUUUCGGAGCUAACGCGUUAAGUAGACCGCCUGGGGAGUACGGUCGCAAGAUUAAAACUCAAAUGAAUUGACGGGGGCCCGCACAAGCGGUGGAGCAUGUGGUUUAAUUCGAUGCAACGCGAAGAACCUUACCUACUCUUGACAUCCAGAGAACUUUCCAGAGAUGGAUUGGUGCCUUCGGGAACUCUGAGACAGGUGCUGCAUGGCUGUCGUCAGCUCGUGUUGUGAAAUGUUGGGUUAAGUCCCGCAACGAGCGCAACCCUUAUCCUUGUUUGCCAGCGAGUAAUGUCGGGAACUCCAGGGAGACUGCCGGUGAUAAACCGGAGGAAGGUGGGGACGACGUCAAGUCAUCAUGGCCCUUACGAGUAGGGCUACACACGUGCUACAAUGGCGCAUACAGAGGGCGGCCAACUUGCGAAAGUGAGCGAAUCCCAAAAAGUGCGUCGUAGUCCGGAUUGGAGUCUGCAACUCGACUCCAUGAAGUCGGAAUCGCUAGUAAUCGUGGAUCAGAAUGCCACGGUGAAUACGUUCCCGGGCCUUGUACACACCGCCCGUCACACCAUGGGAGUGGGCUGCAAAAGAAGUAGGUAGUUUAACCUUCGGGGGGACGCUUACCACUUUGUGGUUCAUGACUGGGGUGAAGUCGUAAAAGGGGGAUUUACCAAAAG
rnacentral:rRNA from 1 species